rnacentral:snRNA from 1 species
AUCGCUUCUCGGCCUUUUGGCUAAGAUCAAGUGUAGUAUCUGUUCUUAUCAGUUUAAUAUCUGAUACGUCCCCUACCCGGGGACUACAUAUUAAAUUGAUUUUUGGAUCACGGAGCUGGAGCCGGGGCUUGCUCUGUCCACUCCACGCAUCGGCCUGGUAUUGCAGUGUCUCCAGGAACGGUGUGC